UUCGCCCUUAGAGUUUGAUCCUGGCUCAGGACGAACGCUGGCGGCGCGCCUAACACAUGCAAGUCGAACGAGCGAGAGAGAGCUUGCUUUCUCGAGCGAGUGGCGAACGGGUGAGUAACGCGUGAGGAACCUGCCUCAAAGAGGGGGACAACAGUUGGAAACGACUGCUAAUACCGCAUAAGCCCACGGCUCGGCAUCGAGCAGAGGGAAAAGGAGCAAUCCGCUUUGAGAUGGCCUCGCGUCCGAUUAGCUAGUUGGUGAGGUAACGGCCCACCAAGGCGACGAUCGGUAACCGGACUGAGAGGUUGAACGGCCACAUUGGGACUGAGACACGGCCCAGACUCCUACGGGAGGCAGCAGUGGGGAAUAUUGCACAAUGGGGGAAACCCUGAUGCAGCGACGCCGCGUGGAGGAAGAAGGUCUUCGGAUUGUAAACUCCUGUUGUUGAGGAAGAUAAUGACGGUACUCAACAAGGAAGUGACGGCUAACUACGUGCCAGCAGCCGCGGUAAAACGUAGGUCACAAGCGUUGUCCGGAAUUACUGGGUGUAAAGGGAGCGCAGGCGGGAGAACAAGUUGGAAGUGAAAUCCAUGGGCUCAACCCAUGAACUGCUUUCAAAACUGUUUUUCUUGAGUAGUGCAGAGGUAGGCGGAAUUCCCGGUGUAGCGGUGGAAUGCGUAGAUAUCGGGAGGAACACCAGUGGCGAAGGCGGCCUACUGGGCACCAACUGACGCUGAGGCUCGAAAGUGUGGGUAGCAAACAGGAUUAGAUACCCUGGUAGUCCACACCGUAAACGAUGAUUACUAGGUGUUGGAGGAUUGACCCCUUCAGUGCCGCAGUUAACACAAUAAGUAAUCCACCUGGGGAGUACGACCGCAAGGUUGAAACUCAAAGGAAUUGACGGGGGCCCGCACAAGCAGUGGAGUAUGUGGUUUAAUUCGACGCAACGCGAAGAACCUUACCAAGUCUUGACAUCCCUUGACGAUGCUGGAAACAGUAUUUCUCUUCGGAGCAAGGAGACAGGUGGUGCAUGGUUGUCGUCAGCUCGUGUCGUGAGAUGUUGGGUUAAGUCCCGCAACGAGCGCAACCCUUAUGGUCAGUUACUACGCAAGAGGACUCUGGCCAGACUGCCGUUGACAAAACGGAGGAAGGUGGGGAUGACGUCAAAUCAUCAUGCCCUUUAUGACUUGGGCUACACACGUACUACAAUGGCGUUAAACAAAGAGAAGCAAGACCGCGAGGUGGAGCAAAACUCAGAAACAACGUCCCAGUUCGGACUGCAGGCUGCAACUCGCCUGCACGAAGUCGGAAUUGCUAGUAAUCGUGGAUCAGCAUGCCACGGUGAAAACGUUCCCGGGCCUUGCACACACCGCCCGUCA
rnacentral:rRNA from 1 species